rnacentral:rRNA from 1 species
GUCUUUUAGUUAUUUAUUUAAAGUUUGGCCUGCUCCAUGAUGAAGUUAAAUAGCCGCAGUAUUUUGACUGUGCAAAGGUAGCAUAAUCAUUAGUUUUUUUAUUGAAAGCUGGAAUGAAUGGUCGGAUGAGGAAGAAUCUGUCUCACUUUAAUUAGUUUGAAUUUUAUUUUUAAGUUAAAAAGCUUAAAUUUGAUAAAAAGACGAGAAGACCCUAUAGAGUUUAAUAAAUUAUGGUAUGAUUAUUGAAGGGUUUAAGUAUAAUUAUUUUAUAAUUUGUUUUGUUGGGGUGACAAAAGAAUUGAAUUAACUUCUUAAUAUUUUUACAUUGAUUUAUGAGUAGAUGAUCCUUAGUUUUGGAUUUAAAGAGUAAAUUACCUUAGGGAUAACAGCGUAAUCUUUUUGGAGAGUUCUAAUCGAUAAAAGGGAUUGCGACCUCGAUGUUGGAUUAAAGUUAAGUUUUGGUGUAGAAGCUGAAAUUUUGAGUCUGUUCGACUUUUAAAACUUU